CAGCCGUAAACGAUGCGCGUUAGGUGUAUCGGUGACCACGAGUCACCGAGGUGCCGAAGGGAAACCGUGAAACGUGCCGCCUGGGAAGUACGGUCGCAAGGCUGAAACUUAAAGGAAUUGGCGGGGGAGCACAACAACGGGUGGAGCUUGCGGUUUAAUUGGAUUCAACGCCGGAAAUCUUACCGGGACCGACAGCAACAUGAAGGCCAGGCUGAAGACUUUGCCGGAUUAGCUGAGAGGAGGUGCAUGGCGUAGUCGUGU
rnacentral:rRNA from 1 species